AACCUUUUUUUAUUUAUAUACAAUGAACUGAACUGAAAUACGACUGGAAUUUACUUAACACUUGGGUUAUUUCUUACAUGUUUGGCCUCUAUUGAGACACAGAGUUGACCAGAGUAGCUGCUUUAUUUUCUGAGCUGGCUACUUACAGACUUGCCUCAUUUCCUGCUUGCAUUCUAGUGUUUGCCAACUCUGCUGUUGAUGUUUGUGCUGCUCAUUCAGCAGUGGGAGGAAACCUGGUGGAGUUGCCUGCUGAUGUAUCACUGCUCUUCUGUAUUUUUGAUAUUUCACAUGCGCACAUUAACAGUAGGAGAGAAGUUGGGGAAGGGGUGCUUUGCAGAAGGUCCUAUGUCCAAUCAUUGGCAUCUCCAGCCCAGGAGAUGACUCUUAUGUAGCAACGAAAAUACAAACAUUUACCUGCAAAAGGGACUGGAAAUGGCAGGUAUCGUGUAACAAAUCCCACCAUUCAGACAAAAAGAUCCAUAACUGCUGCCACAAAGUUCUUCAUGAUCUAAAACAAAAAGAAAUAUAAGAUUCUGUGAAGUUUGUUAGAGAAGUCUGAUUUUGAGG